GUGGGGAAUAUUGGACAAUGGGCGAAAGCCUGAUCCAGCCAUGCCGCGUGUGUGAAGAAGGUCUUCGGAUUGUAAAGCACUUUAAGUUGGGAGGAAGGGCAGUAAGUUAAUACCUUGCUGUUUUGACGUUACCGACAGAAUAAGCACCGGCUAACUUCGUGCCAGCAGCCGCGGUAAUACGAAGGGUGCAAGCGUUAAUCGGAAUUACUGGGCGUAAAGCGCGCGUAGGUGGUUUUGUAAGUUGGAGGUGAAAUCCCCGGGCUAAACCUGGGAACUGCCUCCAAAACUGCAUGACUAGAGUACGGUAGAGGGUAGUGGAAUUUCCUGUGUAGCGGUGAAAUGCGUAGAUAUAGGAAGGAACACCAGUGGCGAAGGCGACUACCUGGACUGAUACUGACACUGAGGUGCGAAAGCGUGGGGAGCAAACAGGAUUAGAUACCCGGGUAGUCC
rnacentral:rRNA from 1 species